UACAUGCAUCAAGACGGCAAUAGUCCAGCAACCGAGCCCACCCGGGUCACGGUGCUAAAAAGAUGUGGUCUCUCGGAGACAAAAAUACUCGGUGAGACAAAAAUCUGAAUCUUGGU
rnacentral:ncRNA from 1 species